rnacentral:rRNA from 1 species
UACGGAGGGUGCGAGCGUUGUCCGGAAUCACUGGGCGUAAAGGGCGCGUAGGCGGUCUGCUAAGCGUGCGGUGAAAGCCUGGGGCUCAACCCCAGGUCUGCCGUGCGAACUGGUGGACUAGAGCACUGUAGAGGCAGGUGGAAUUCCGGGUGUAGCGGUGGAAUGCGUAGAGAUCCGGAAGAACACCGGUGGCGAAAGCGCUCUGCUGGACUGCAACUGACACUCAGGGACGAAAGCUAGGGGAGCGAAUGGG